rnacentral:ncRNA from 1 species
GCAAUCCCACACGGGCGCCCCACGGUAGGGGCUGAGAUCGCGCUACACGCCGCGCGGGCACCGUCCGAACCUGUCUGGUUAGCACCAGCGAAGGAAGUUGAAGGAGUGUCAUG